ACUGGCAGCCAUAUCACCCUGCAGCCCAAGACUGGUUGCCCACUGAAGCUAAGCAGGGUUGAGCCUGGUCAGUACCGGCC
rnacentral:rRNA from 1 species